rnacentral:rRNA from 1 species
AGCGAACGUUUGCGGCGGGCCUAACACAUGCAAGUCGAACGCACUAGCAAUAGUGAGUGGCGCACGGGUGCGUAACACGUGGGUAAUCAACCCUUCAGCCUGGGAUAACGACUCGAAAGGGUCGCUAAUACCGGAUACGGCGCGAGAGGCUUCGGCUUCUCACGAGAAAGCCACGCAAGGGGCACUGAAGGACGAGCCUGCGGCCCAUCAGCUAGUUGGUGAGGUAAGAGCUCACCAAGGCUAAGACGGGUAGCUGGUCUGAGAGGAUGAUCAGCCACACUGGAACUGAGACACGGUCCAGACUCCUACGGGAGGCAGCAGUGGGGAAUAUUGCGCAAUGGGCGAAAGCCUGACGCAGCCACGCCGCGUGAGCGAUGAAGGCCUUCGGUCGUAAAGCUCUGUGGGAGGAGACGAAGAAAGACCUGUGAAGAGCAGGCCUUGACGGUAUCUCCUUAGCAAGCACCGGCUAACUCCGU